rnacentral:rRNA from 1 species
GACAGAGGGUGCAAACGUUGUUCGGAAUUACUGGGCGUAAAGCGCGUGUAGGCGGCAAGGCAAGUCGGAUGUGAAAGCCCACGGCUCAACCGUGGAAGUGCACCCGAAACUGCCUAGCUAGAGUCUCGGAGAGGAAGGUGGAAUGCUUGGUGUAGAGGUGAAAUUCGUAGAUAUCAAGCGGAACACCGGUGGCGAAGGCGGUUCUCUGGGAAUGUCCUGACGCUGAGGAGCGAAAGUGUGGGGAGCGAACAGG